UACAGAGGUCUCAAGCGUUGUUCGGAUUCAUUGGGCGUAAAGGGUGCGUAGGCGGCUCGGAAAGUCGGGCGUGAAAUGCCGGGGCUCAACCCCGGGACUGCGUCCGAUACUUCCGAGCUGGAGGUAGGUAGGGGAGAUCGGAAUUCCUGGUGUAGCGGUGAAAUGCGCAGAUAUCAGGAGGAACACCGGUGGCGAAGGCGGAUCUCUGGGCCUUACCUGACGCUGAGGCGCGAAAGCUAGGGGAGCGAACAGG
rnacentral:rRNA from 1 species